rnacentral:rRNA from 1 species
AUGACAAGUUCUUUCACAGCAAGCAGCAAUUGGGUGCUCUGUGUACAACAUUCCCGAGUAGUGUCUGUCUUCAGUUCGUGCAAUUUUGUCCGUUAUGGUCUUUUGCUCCAGCUGGUAUCACAAUGCAAUGGCGGUGGGACAAGCAUCAAUCGCGGGACAAAAAUUCACAACCUAUUUUUUUGUUGCCUCGUUCCCCUUCUGAACCAAUAUCAUAUACUUCAGCUAGUGGCGAUCACCUUGAGCAAAUGUGGGACCCUGGAGGCCUUGCGAGCUAUAUAUGCAGUACAUGUGCAUCGACUUCCCUGA